CCUGCCUCUAGAGGGGUUGCAGGUAUGCCUGCUGUGUCACACGUGGAUGAGUAGGUGACAGAGAGGAGAGAGGCUAUGUCUCAGCCCAGUGUUCUGUCCUAUGAACAUCUGAAUGAUUAGUAGCCUAGCAUC
ensembl:snoRNA LOC120095450 small nucleolar RNA SNORA17